UGGAGUGUGAUGGGGCCAUCUGUCACCCGAGGCAAAGAUGUGCUCCAACCUGAGGCAGCGCAUGACACCCAGGUCUCCACCUGAUGUUAGACAGCCUGUUUCUUUAUUUAAAAGAAAAAUAACUAGGGCCGGGUGCCAGGGAGGAGGCAUGGGCCCCCCGCCCUCAGCAGCAGGAAAGCUCAUUAGUUUAAUCUUCAAGCACUUGCAACAGAAAGCAAGCCUGCUCCAGAAAGCCCAGAGAAAGCAGAUCUCGCCUCCCCCAGCAACUGGGGUGCGGCAACAUGGAGCUAGGACCCUACACAACCCUGCCUGGGAUUUGUCCCCCUCCAUCUGGCCCACCUCUGCUGAACAGGUCCAUCCAUCAGGAAUAACUUCAACCAGUACCAGCACCAACAAACAGGCACAGUUCCUUGCAGCUCCAGCGCUAUUCCUGUGACUGUUCCAAACGUGUCUGCAGAGCUCUUUGCUUCCGUGAAUGUGUCGCGCCACCUAUGGGCAGGACUACAGAAGUUCACUUUCUUUUAUCAGAAGACAAAGCUUCAAGCAUUUCAUUAAAAUGUUGGGGUUUGAGGGUCUUUAAGAUUUCAGAAGCACGUGUGUGAAAAUUAAUAAACUGUAUUAAUUAUUUUCUCUGUAAUAAUUUUAAGAGGCAGUAUUCUGCCACUGAGGUCCUUAGGCUAGGUAAAUCAGUAGAGAAAGACAAAGAACUAUUUUCUCACUGUAAGCUCUCUGAAAAUGUUUGCUUUGGCUCUGCUUUCUGAGCCAUCUCUUGGAGAGAUCAAAUGCACGUCUGUGCACCAGCUCUUAGAAAGAGAAGAACACCAUAUAAGCCCAAGAAAAAAAUAGCUACCCGUCACAGAACUGAGAGCCCAGCCUUUACUGUUGCCUUUCACCAUUUUGUAGAGAUAGAUACAGUGUCAAGACUAACAACUCCUCCUGGACAG